AUUGAACGCUGGCGGCAUGCCUUACACAUGCAAGUCGAACGGCAGCAUGAUCUAGCUUGCUAGAUUGAUGGCGAGUGGCGAACGGGUGAGUAAUACAUCGGAACGUGCCCUGUAGUGGGGGAUAACUAGUCGAAAGAUUAGCUAAUACCGCAUACGACCUGAGGGUGAAAGUGGGGGACCGCAAGGCCUCAUGCUAUAGGAGCGGCCGAUGUCUGAUUAGCUAGUUGGUGAGGUAAAGGCUCACCAAGGCGACGAUCAGUAGCUGGUCUGAGAGGACGAUCAGACACACUAGGACUGAGACACGGCCCAGACUCCUACGGGAGGCAGCAGUGGGGAAUUUUGGACAAUGGGCGAAAGACUGAUCCAGCAAUGCCGCGUGUGUGAAGAAGGCCUUCGGGUUGUAAAGCACUUUUGUCCGGAAAGAAAUGGCUCUGGUUAAUACCUGGGGUCGAUGACGGUACCGGAAGAAUAAGGACCGGCUAACUACGUG
rnacentral:rRNA from 1 species